GUGAGUCAUCGAAUCUUUGAACGCACAUUGCGCCCCUUGGUAUUCCGAGGAGCAUGCCUGUUUGAGUGUCAUUAAUAUAUCAACCUCUUCAAGUUUUGCUUGUUUGAGUGUGGAUGUGGGGGUUUUGUUGGCUUCUAUGAAGUCAGCUCCCCUCAAAUGUAUUAGCGGAAUGAUUUCCUGUUCAUUGGUGUGAUAAUUAUCUACGCUAUUGACAGGGGGAUAACAGUUCAGCUUCUAAUAGUCCAUUGACUUGGACAAAAUUUUCAUUAAUGUGACCUCAAACCAGGUAGGACUACCCGCCGAACUUAAGCAUAUCAAUAAGCGGAGG
rnacentral:rRNA from 1 species